GAUGAACGCUGGCGGCGUGCCUAAUACAUGCAAGUCGAGCGAACAGACGAGGAGCUUGCUCCUCUGACGUUAGCGGCGGACGGGUGAGUAACACGUGGAUAACCUACCUAUAAGACUGGGAUAAUUUCGGGAAACGGGAGCUAAUACCGGAUAAUAUAUUGAACCGCAUGGUUCAAUAGUGAAAGACGGUUUUGAUGUCACUUAUAGAUGGAUCCGCGCCGCAUUAGCUAGUUGGUAAGGUCACGGCUUACCAAGGCAACGAUGCGUAGCCGACCUGAGAGGGUGAUCGGCCACCCUAGAACGUAGACACGGUCCAGACUCCUACGGGAGGCAGCAGUAGGGAAUCUUCCGCAAUGGGCGAAAGCUUGACGGAGCAACGCCGCGUGAGUGAUAGAGGUCUUCGGAUCGUAAAACUCUGUUAUUAGGGAAAAACAAAUGUGGAAGUAACUAUGCACGACUUGACGGUACCUAAUCAGAAAGCCACGGCUAACUACGUG
rnacentral:rRNA from 1 species